ACCCAAUAUCCAAUUAAACAAAUAACUGGUCGUCCUCAUACCCCGUCUGGUAAUAGGAACAAAACAUUCCACCACCUCGAUACCCCAUUCGGUAUGAGGGUGAACUAUAUCUCCCAAACCUUACUAGUAAGGGACUUCCUAUCCUCGUCCGACAGAGAUAAUGUUCACGGUAGGGUUCCCUAUGUCUCGAACCCGUCCGCCCUUUC
rnacentral:lncRNA from 1 species